rnacentral:rRNA from 1 species
UACGUAGGCAGCAAGCGUUGUUCGGAAUUACUGGGCGUAAAGAGUGUGUAGGUGGUGCUCCAAGUCUGUUGUGAAAUCUCCCGGCUUAACUGGGAGGGUGCGGCGGAAACUGGAAUGCUAGAGUGUGGGAGAGGUAAGCGGAAUUCCUGGUGUAGCGGUGAAAUGCGUAGAUAUCAGGAGGAACACCUGUGGUGUAGACAGCUUACUGGACCACGACUGACGCUGAGACACGAAAGCGUGGGUAGCAAACAGG